rnacentral:rRNA from 1 species
UACGAAGGGGGGCUAGCGUUGUUCGGAAUUACUGGGCGUAAAGCGCACGUAGGCGGAUCGAUCAGUCAGGGGGUGAAAAUCCCCAGAGCUCAACUCUGGAACUGCCUUUGAUACUGUCGGUCUAGAGUAUGGAAGAGGUGAGUGGAAUUCCGAGUGUAGAGGGUGAAAUUCGUAGAUAUUCGGAGGAACACCAGUGGCGAAGGCGGCUCACUGGCUCGGUACUGACGCUGAGGUGCGAAAGCGUGGGGAUCAAACAGG